rnacentral:tRNA from 1 species
CCUGGUGGCUCAGACGGUAAAGCAUCUGCCUACAAUGCAGGAGACCCGGGUUCGAUCCCUGGGUCAGGA